CAAGUUGUGGGUCAAUAUUGUUCCACAUGACAGAAUUUAUUAUUUUUGAGUUUGUUUUUUAAAAUUGGUAAGUUACAUCCAAAACUCCAAGUUAAAAGAAUGCUAAGGUUGUAAAGUCAAGCACUUAGAAGUUAGGAAAAGCCAAGAUUUAAGGUUGCCUGUACAACCUUAAUUCAGCCCCUUUGUGUGUAUGCCUCAUGAUACAGUCUUAACCAUGAGACCGCCCUUUCUCUUCUUGCAAUCCCCUGCUUCAUUCACUACAUACCUUCCAACUUCUGCAACACAUGAAGCAGCGGUCCUAGUAUAGACAACAGUCUCCUUCACUACAUAACCCUGAUUCAUCCUCCAAAGCAGAACCAACCUGUGCAUUGAACAAGGCAGGAAUCCUAUGGAAAAAUAGAAUGUGAUCAUGUAAUUAAAGACUGUUAAGAAAUUCUAACAAGUGGAAAUAUAUUGACCUCCAACUCAGGUGAUCAGCAGGAUUCACACCUUUAUAUCCACAGCACAGACCUCCACCACUUUAGCCAAUGCAGUAAGGAUAGCACGUGUACAGUUAUCCAUGUGGACCGGCCACUAAAGGGUGAUGAGACACACUUUGCCAGUAGGUUUCAUAGCUAUCUACUAACAGAAAAUAAAAGUAGAGAUUCAGGAUGCUUCACUUCAAUUCCCGGUUUUGGAGGGAGUAUUCUCUGUUGGAUAUAGACCUUUCUGACCCUGUGCACCCAUUAACUAUCUAAUUCACUUGGCACCAAUUGUGCUGUUUGUUUACUUUUUAUACUUAUUUCAAUUUGAACAAUUAAAAUAGCCUAGACUCUGAUCAGUUUCUCUUUCUGUUCUCUUGCACUAGCACAGAACUCUCUGGUUGCAAAUUCUGCAGAGGAAGUCUGGCUAAAAUAGCAAGAACUUUAUUCUUGGAAGAAAAACAAACAACAAAAAACAAACCUGCCUAGCCUUCAGAGAGGAGAAAUGCUCCUGGGUCCUAGUGCAGAUGGAGUUCCCUACUGGCACUUCUUGUCUGUUCCCUCCAGUGCAACCAUACAGAAGGCUAUUCUCCGAGUCCUGGCUAGAACUGCCCGUGAGGAUGGCAGUAACACUCAAAUCUACACAGCUGUUUGAAAGGCUCUCAAUAGCUUAUAUAAAAUAAUCACUUAAUCUUU